AGCGAACGCUGGCGGCAGGCCUAACACAUGCAAGUCGAACGAGGUCUUCGGACCUAGUGGCGGACGGGUGAGUAACACGUGGGAACGUGCCCUUUGGUACGGAAUAACUCAGGGAAACUUGAGCUAAUACCGUAUGUGCCCUUCGGGGGAAAGAUUUAUCGCCAUUGGAGCGGCCCGCGUCUGAUUAGCUAGUUGGUGAGGUAAUGGCUCACCAAGGCGACGAUCAGUAGCUGGUCUGAGAGGAUGACCAGCCACAUUGGGACUGAGACACGGCCCAAACUCCUACGGGAGGCAGCAGUGGGGAAUCUUGCGCAAUGGGCGAAAGCCUGACGCAGCCAUGCCGCGUGGAUGAUGAAGGUCCUAGGAUUGUAAAAUCCUUUCACCGGUGAAGAUAAUGACUGUAGCCGGAGAAGAAGCCCCGGCUAACUUCGUGCCAGCAGCCGCGGUAACAC
rnacentral:rRNA from 1 species